rnacentral:rRNA from 1 species
UACGUAGGGUGCAAGCGUUGUCCGGAAUUAUUGGGCGUAAAGAGCUCGUAGGCGGUCUGUCGCGUCUGCUGUGAAAACUCGGGGCUUAACCCCGGGCCUGCAGUGGGUACGGGCAGACUAGAGUGCGGUAGGGGAGGCUGGAAUUCCUGGUGUAGCGGUGGAAUGCGCAGAUAUCAGGAGGAACACCGAUGGCGAAGGCAGGUCUCUGGGCCACUACUGACGCUGAGAAGCGAAAGCAUGGGGGAGCGAACGG